AAGCACUGCUUUUGAACCUGAUGUGUCUUGUCUGUAGCUUCAUGGACCAUGCAACGGUGCUAGACAAUAAGGACUUAAUAUAACUGGGGCUCUUCAACUUUGAACUGCUUUUAAAAAAAAUAGCAUAAACA